UCCUGGUUCCAGGACGAACCGUGGGCGGGCUGCCCUUAACACAUGCAAGUCGAGCGAAGAAAAAAGAAGUAGAUCUUUUUGGGAGUGACGCCUCUUUGGAUUAGCGGCGGGACGGGUGAGUAACACGGGAGCAACUUGCCGUACACAUUGGGAUAGCCUCGGGAAACUGGGAUUAAUACCAAACGAAACAUAUUGAUAGCAUUAUCAAAAUGUCAAAGAUUUAUCGGUGAAAGAUGGCCUUGCGUCUGAUUAGCUAGUUGGUAGGGUAAAGGCCUACCAAGGCGACGAUCAGUAGCCGGCUUGAGAGAGUGGACGGCCACACUGGAACUGAGACACGGUCCAGACUCCUACGGGAGGCAGCAGUGGGGAAUUUUGCACAAUGGAGGAAACUCUGAUGCAGCGACGCCGCGUGAACGAUGAAGGCCUUCGGGUUGUAAAGUUCUGUCCUUGGUGAAGAUAGUGACAGUAACCAAGAAGCAAGCCCUGGCUAAAUACGUGCCAGCAGCCGCGGUAAUACGUAUGGGGCAAGCGUUGUCCGGAAUUAUUGGGCGUAAAGGGUACGUAGGCGGUUUAUCAAGUCUAUAUUAAAAGGCAAUGGCUUAACCAUUGUAUGGUAUAGAAACUGAUAAACUUGAGUAGAUGAGGGGAAAGUGGAAUUCCUAGUGUAGCGGUGAAAUGCGUAGAUAUUAGGAGGAAUACCGGUGGCGAAGGCGACUUUCUGGAAUCUUACUGACGCUGAGGUACGAAAGCGUGGGGAGCAAACAGGAUUAGAUACCCUGGUAGUCCACGCUGUAAACGAUGAAUGCUAGGUGUCGGGAGUCGAAUCUCGGUGCCGCAGUUAACACAUNAAG
rnacentral:rRNA from 1 species